CGGGGCGUAGCUCAGCCUGGUAGAGUACUACGUUCGGGACGUAGGAGUCGGAGGUUCGAAUCCUCUCGCCCCGA
rnacentral:tRNA from 1 species